CAUGUCUGAAUAUCUGAUACAUAUGGAAAAGCACUGCGAACUUUUUCUACUACGUAUACAGUUCGUGAUCGCAGAGAGGAAACUGCAGCGGCUACCCGGAGCGAGAGAACCGGCAAGAAGAUGAAAUGUCCAUGAGACAAAGCAGUUCACCCUGGGGAUGUGUGGAAGAAGCUGCCAAGCCAGAAAAGGGAACCAAGGAGUUUGGAAUUCGAGCCCUAUGUGUUUACAAAGUUAAUACCAACAAAGAAGAGAGUGAGUUGUCUACAUCCUUAAAAAUAAUUUCAGGGGCGCCUGGGUGGCUCAGUCGUUAGCUGUCUGCCUUCAGCUCAGGUCAUGAUCCCAGG